rnacentral:rRNA from 1 species
ACUCAAAGGAAUUGACGGGGACUCGCACAAGCAGUGGAGCAUGUGGUUUAAUCCGAUACGACGCGUAGAACCUUACCAAGGCUUGACAUGACCGGCAAAACUGCGGAAACGCAGCCGAGGUUAUCCGGCCACAGGUGCUGCAUGGCCAUCGUCAGUUCGUGCCGUGAGGUGUAUGGUUAAGUCCUAUAACGAACGCAACCCUUGGGCUUAGUUAUCAGCAUUUAGUUGGAAACUCUAAGCCGACUGCCUAAGUAAUUAGGAGGAAGGAAAGGAUGACGUUUGGUCGUCAUGGCCCUUAUGCCUUGGGCGACACACGUGCUACAAUGGUUAAGACAAAGCGUUGCCAACCCGCGAGGGGGAGCUAACCGCAAAAAAUUAGCCUCAGUUCGGAUUGGAGGCUGCAACUCGCCUCCAUGAAGUUGGAAUUGCUAGUAAUCGUGAAUCAGCCAUGUCACGGUGAAUACGUUCUCGAGUCUUGUACACACCGCCCGU